UCUGUGUUGGCUAAUUAUCGACUAGACAAAUUUCAGUGAAAUGUAAAAGAAGAACAGGUUGUUCCCUCCAAGUAUCUGGAAAAUUAGACACGGACUGUCGCAAAGGACUGGUUUACACCCUUCGGAUAAAUUUGUCCUUGUUUGGAUGUUAGAACCCUCUUGACCCGCGGCUAUUUCCGCAUUUCGUAAACCGCAAAGUUAGCUAAUCACCCGCUUAUGGGGCUGUACAGAAGAAAGGCACCACAAUUUGACCCCCCCUUCUCGUGAUGAUUUUGCACGGACACUGAAAAAGUUCUGAGAAAAUUCAGUGCUUCUUGAAUCUUGACCAUUUGAAAACGUUUUUAUUUAUGGUCUAGUCAGCAGUCGAGAAUGGUUGUAUUUAUUUUAUGUGAGUGUUCUUAGCAAAAUCUCGGAUAUUUAUGACUAUCGGAUAUUUUAUUGGAUAUUUAUUACUAUUUUAUCUCAUAAAGGAUAUUAGAAUAGCUACUGUUAAAAGGAAAUAUCGCAGCUCAGAAUAGUUUGGUUUGAAAAUUAUGGACACUUUUAGGAAAAAGUUUGUGGACACGAUGCUUUACCUGAUCAGUUCGCAAGUCAUCACAGGUUAAAAAUAAUCGUUUACCAGAUGGAGUUUACCACAUCAGUUUACCGGAUGGAUGAUGCAUUGACAGUUAAUCUUUUCUUUUAUUUAUACAUUAUUCUUUCAUUUAAAGAUUAUUAUAAUAAUUUUAUGAAAUUCGUUUGAUUGUCCCAUCAACUAGUUUGUCAUGUUUAUUUUUUAUUUACAACUCUGUUAGUUAAUUUGAACCUUUUUUCUGUGAGGACAGAUUAUUAAUAAUAAUUUUGUUAUUAAAAAGAUAUUUUGUCUACUUUGAUAUUUGAGAACAAAGGGUAUUUUGUUUGUAUUCAUUAAUCUAUUUAUUUUUGUCAAUACAUUCUUUUUUCAUGAGUGAACAUCUUAAGGUUUCUUACUUAAUUGAUCACCUCCUUAAUAAUUGUUCUAAGGUUUUAUUAUGAAGCAAUUUUUAAAAAAAAUAUUGCCAAAAGUUACUUUAGACACUUGUUAGUUAUGCAUUGGUGUAAUGCAUUUUUGUUAAUUGUAAUCGUUUAAAAUCGCUAUUGGAUUACAACCAAGUUUUGCAUUUUCGAUGAUUUCAAAACAAUGCUUGUUUUAAAAUAAAUGAAAAAGUCUCUUUUCAUAAUUUGUCAAAAUAAAAUAAUAGCGUUGUACUUCGUUUUCCAAUAUUAUUAAUAAUAUAAUCAAACUUUAAAUUAGGUUAAGUUUUAUUUUUUGGAUUUAGGAGAGAAAAAAGAAUCUCAAUUUCUAGAACUUCAAUUUGCUUCAGAGGAAUUCUUGAUUAAAAAAGUUAUUUAAUUAAAUUGUGCAAUUCACAUUUUUAAAAGAAGGAAUGUAAUUAGUUUAAAAAUCGCUAAUUACUAGAAACAGAGCUGCCGUACAUUAUAUUUUUUACAAGGUUUUUUUCUUACAAGCAAAUGGCAAUUACUGUAAUAGAUUAAAGAAAAAUUUAAUUAAAGCAAAAAAUUUCCUCGCAUGAAGCAGCAACAUUUUUAUUAAUUAAUUUUUUAUUCGACAAUCAAGCGUAAGAUAAUUUGAUUAGGAAACUUUUUAUAAAACUCCGAAGCAAAAAAAAAGUUCUUUUCUUGUUUCAUUUAACGUUUUUUUUCUUUCCUCCUUUCUAAUUCUUUUUUUUCUCCCUGUUUUUACAGUACAAAAGAAUGCUUCAGAAGAAAAGCAGAAAAAAAAGAAAAAAAGAAAACUAGUCCUGAAGAAAUCUUGAGGCGAAAAGACAGAGUAGUGAUUUCAAUCUAAUUCUGGCGUCUUUUUACUCUUGCAGGAAUUUCGAGUUGGCGACAGUUCUGUUUGGGGCCCGGCUAUUGUAAAAGUUGGAUCUUUCGUCAAAGAGCGGUCUGUCGCCAGAAACAUUCUCUCUUUUCUUUUUUGGCGCUGAAUUGGGUCAACAGCUUCAACGUCUUCUUGGGGACACUGCCAGAUGGCAAUCAAUGAUAGGCAUUAAGUUUUACAACACAAAAGAAUGUGAACAAAAUCAAGAGGAGUAAGAACUCUAUGACUUGUAUAAAUGAAACAACCCACAAGAUUGUGUAAGAAAGAAUUCAACUAUUUUACAUUUUUAAAAAAAUACGAAGAGUUUUGGAAAAUGUUAAAAACAGCAUGAAGAAAAGGCAGAGCUGAAGCUAACUUAAUGAAAAUAUGAAUUAUAUGAAACUGGAAAAUUGAUGGAUGAUAGAGAAUAGGCAAUUUGAUGCAACACCUCAAGUUUUUAUAAGGAGACCUGAAUACUUCUGGUAAAUGAUGACUAAAAUAGAUACACCUUAAGUUAGCAUUUGAAAGGGCGAUAAAAUUUGAAAUGGGCUGACUAAACUUGAAGAAGACAUUUCUAUUAUCUAAAGGUUUAUUAAAGUGCCUGAUACAUGCCUUUGAUGAUAGAAAUACAACUGAUGCACGUAUGGAAUUGAAAAACCAAUUAUACACUUGGACAAUCAAUUGGAAAUAUAGUAAAUAUGGUUAUAUAUGAUCGCGAAGUUUUAAAUUCAAAGGUUCAUCAGUGUAAUAUUUGUCAAUAUCAACUUUCUUAUUAUUUUUACUUAUGAUAACUUGAUUUUUCUUAUGCGAUUACUUUUGAUGUUGAUUUUACUUAUGUGUGAUUAUUUUACUUCUGAUGUAUUAUUAUUAUAUUAUGUAUUAUUUUAUUGUUAUACGUCAUGUUGGGUUAGCAACUAACUUGCCACCAUUUUGUAAAAAAAAGUGUGAGAGUAUUAAUUAAUCUCAUCAAACUCAACUAAAUGGCUAGAAUAAGUUGCGUAAUUGAGGUUAAAAUUUACAUUUUCAAUCUUGGCGUACUAAUCAUGAGUGUUUUUUUUUUAGCUACCUCAUCCUCUCUAGAGAAGGAUGAGGUAGCUAAUAAAACUUAAUGAUUCUGUUCUUUUU